GUUUUACUCUUAUCCAAUCCCACUCUUUUUUUUCUCUCUUCCAGAUCCUUCGUUAUCCUCCUCUUCCGCCUCUCCUUCUUCGCCCCUCCUUUUCCUCUCCCCCUCCUCUCCACAAAAGAGCUUCUAUGCAGGCAUGGUGAUGAUAGAGCAGCCCCAAAAAUAAAUCUAGAGUACUAUGCCCUCCUCACUGCUAGAUCCAGGGCGAGUGGGCAACACCAAUCUCAUGGCCACCUCCUCCGUCUCAUCUCUCAUGGCGGCGGGGGCAACUUGGAAGAAACAAGGUCAUCAGGAACUGGGAGGAUAAGGCCCAACGUGUGCUCCUCAACCUCCUCCUUCAACGUGCGUUGUCGAUGGUGA
rnacentral:lncRNA from 2 species